rnacentral:rRNA from 1 species
AACGCUAGCUACAGGCUUAACACAUGCAAGUCGAGGGGCAGCAUGGUCUUAGCUUGCUAAGGCCGAUGGCGACCGGCGCACGGGUGAGUAACGCGUGUCCAACCUGCCUUACACUCUUGGACAGCCUUCUGAAAGGGAGAUUAAUACAAGAUGUUAUCAUGAGUAAGCAUUUUCGCAUGAUUAAAGGUUUACCGGUGUAAGAUGGGGAUGCGUUCCAUUAGAUAGUAGGCGGGGUAACGGCCCACCUAGUCUUCGAUGGAUAGGGGUUCUGAGAGGAAGGUCCCCCACAUUGGAACUGAGACACGGUCCAAACUCCUACGGGAGGCAGCAGUGAGGAAUAUUGGUCAAUGGACGAGAGUCUGAACCAGCCAAGUAGCGUGAAGGAUGAAGGUUCUAUGGAUUGUAAACUUCUUUUAUACGGGAAUAAACGGAUCCACGUGUGGACUUUUGCAUGUACCGUAUGAAUAAGGAUCGGCUAACUCCGUGCCAGCAGCCGCGGUAAUACGGAGGAUCCGAGCGUUAUCCGGAUUUAUUGGGUUUAAAGGGAGCGUAGAUGGGUUGUUAAGUCAGUUGUGAAAGUUUGCGGCUCAACCGUAAAAUUGCAAUUGAUACUGGCAGUCUUGAGUACAGUUGAGGUAGGCGGAAUUCGUGGUGUAGCGGUGAAAUGCUUAGAUAUCACGAAGAACUCCGAUUG